UUUUAAAUAUAAAUAUGUCCCAUGCAAUAUUUGGAACAUACUUCUAUUAAAA
rnacentral:pre_miRNA from 1 species